rnacentral:rRNA from 1 species
AUUGAACGCUGGCGGCAUGCCUUACACAUGCAAGUCGAACGGGCAGCACGGGGGCAACCCUGGUGGCGAGUGGCGAACGGGUGAGUAAUACAUCGGAACGUGCCCCGUAGCGGGGGACAACCAGUCGAAAGACUGGCUAAUACCGCAUACGCUCCACGGAGGAAAGCAGGGGAUCGCAAGACCUUGCACUAUGGGAGCGGCCGAUGCCCGAUUAGCUAGUUGGUGAGGUAAAGGCUCACCAAGGCAACGAUCGGUAGCUGGUCUGAGAGGACGACCAGCCUCACUGGGACUGAGACACGGCCCAGACUCCUACGGGAGGCAGCAGUGGGGAAUUUUGGACAAUGGGCGCAAGCCUGAUCCAGCCAUGCC